rnacentral:rRNA from 1 species
GCAGUGCACCAGAAACCUUUGUGAACUUAUACCUAUUAUCCGUUGCCUCGGCGCUGGCUGCCCUGUCCCCCCGGGGAUAGGGGCCCCUCUCCGGAGUGGGACAGCAGGCCCGCCGGNGGCCUACUUAACUCUUGUUUUUACUGAGUAUCUUCUGAGUAAAGCUUCUAAAUGAAUCAAAACUUUCAACAACGGAUCUCUUGGUUCUGGCAUCGAUGAAGAACUGCAGCGAAAUGCGAUAAGUAAUGUGAAUUGCAGAAUUCAGUGAAUCAUCGAAUCUUUGAACGCACAUUGCGCCCUCUGGUAUUCCAGAGGGCAUGCCUGUUCGAGCGUCAUUUCAACCCUCAAGCCUAGCUUGGUGUUGGGGCAUUACCUGACUGUUUACAGGAGGGUAAGCCCUGAAAAUUUAAGUGGCGAGCUCGCCAGGACUCCGAGGCGUAGUAGCUAAAACCCUCGGCUUUGGAUCGUACUGGCGCGGGCCUGCCGUAAAAACCCCAAUUCUUGAAAAUUUGACCUCCGGAUCACAGUNUGAAUUCCCGGUAAAUUAGGGCUUUCAU